rnacentral:tRNA from 1 species
CCGAGGGUGCUACAAGAUCUGCUAACUCUUUAAUCUGGAAAUAAACACCAGCUCCCUC